rnacentral:rRNA from 1 species
GUGGGGAAUUUUGCACAAUGGGGGAAACCCUGAUGCAGCGACGCCGCGUGAAUGAUGAAGGUCUUCGGAUUGUAAAAUUCUGUCCUUAGUGAAGAUAAUGACAGUAACUAAGAAGCAAGCCCUGGCUAAAUACGUGCCAGCAGCCGCGGUAAUACGUAUGGGGCAAGCGUUGUCCGGAAUUAUUGGGCGUAAAGGGUACGUAGGCGGUUAAUUAAGUCUGAAUUAAAAGGCUGUGGCUCAACCAUGGUAAGGUUUAGAUACUGGUUAACUUGAGUAGAUGAGGGGAAAGUGGAAUUCCAUGUGUAGCGGUGAAAUGCGUAGAUAUAUGGAGGAACACCUGUGGCGAAGGCGACUUUCUAGAAUCUAACUGACGCUGAGGUACGAAGGCGUGGGUAGCAAACAGGAUUAGAAACCCUAGUAGUCC